AAUGAGGUGGGAGGGAGGAGCAGAAACAGAAGGGCUCCUGUCACCAGAUGGAGAGAAGGAUUUGGGUUCUGUUUACAUGUCAUUGGAUUGUUCCAUCAAAAUGUGAGUUCUGUUUUCUUUUAUUUUUCUAGUGACAGAGCAGCAAGAUACUAUUAUUACUGGCACCUGAGAAAACAAGUUCUUCAUUCUCAGUGUGUGCUCCGAGAGGAGGCCUACUUCCUGCUGGCAGCCUUUGCCCUGCAGGCUGAUCUUGGGAACUUCAAAAGGAAUAAGCACUAUGGAAAAUACUUCGAGCCAGAGGCUUACUUCCCAUCUUGGGUUGUUUCCAAGAGGGGGAAGGACUACAUCCUGAAGCACAUUCCAAACAUGCACAAAGAUCAGUUUGCACUAACAGCUUCCGAAGCUCAUCUUAAAUAUAUCAAAGAGGCUGUCCGACUGGACGACGUUGCUGUUCAUUACUACAGAUUGUAUAAGGAUAAAAGGGAAAUUGAAGCUUCGCUGACUCUUGGAUUGACCAUGAGGGGAAUACAGAUUUUUCAGAAUUUAGAUGAAGAGAAACAAUUA
rnacentral:sRNA from 1 species